rnacentral:rRNA from 1 species
UACGUAGGGUGCAAGCGUUGUCCGGAAUUAUUGGGCGUAAAGAGCUCGUAGGCGGUUUGUUGCGUCGGCUGUGAAAUCCCGAGGCUCAACCUCGGGUCUGCAGUCGAUACGAGCAAACUAGAGUGUUGCAGGGGAGACUGGAAUUCCUGGUGUAGCGGUGAAAUGCGCAGAUAUCAGGAGGAACACCGAUGGCGAAGGCAGGUCUCUGGGCAUUAACUGACGCUGAGGAGCGAAAGCAUGGGGAGCAAACAGG